UACAGAGGUCUCGAGCGUUAUGCGGAAUCACUGGGCUUAAAGCGUGUGUAGGCGGCUCGGUAAGUACCUUGUGAAAUCCCACAGCUUAACUGUGGAACUGCUUGGUAUACUGCCAGUCUUGAGCCAGCUAGGGGCUACCGGAACAAAUGGUGGAGCGGUGAAAUGCGUAGAUAUCAUGUGGAACGCCAAUGGUGAAAACAGGUAGCUGGGGCUGUGCUGACGCUGAGACACGAAAGCCAGGGGAGCAAACGGG
rnacentral:rRNA from 1 species